ensembl:snRNA U7 U7 small nuclear RNA
UAGUUUUACAGCUAUUUUAGAAUUUGUCAAGCAGGUCUUCUGGUCUCUACUGGAAGGAGCUCAA